rnacentral:rRNA from 1 species
AAGGGAGCGUAGACGGCAAAGCAAGUCUGAAGUGAAAGCCCCGGGCUCAACCCGGGAAUUGCUUUGGAAACUGUUUAGCUAGAGUGCAGGAGAGGUAAGCGGAAUUCCUAGUGUAGCGGUGAAAUGCGUAGAUAUUAGGAGGAACACCGGCGGCGAAGGCGGCUUACUGGACUGUAACUGACGUUGAGGCUCGAAAGCGAGGGGAGCGAACGGGAUUAGAUACCCUGGUAGUCCACGCCGUAAAC